rnacentral:rRNA from 1 species
GUCCACGCCGUAAACGAUGGGCACUAGGCGUCGGGGGGAGCGACCCUCCCGGUGCCGUCGCUAACGCAAUAAGUGCCCCGCCUGGGGAGUACGGCCGCAAGGUUGAAACUCAAAGGAAUUGACGGGGGCCCGCACAAGCGGUGGAGCAUGUGGUUUAAUUCGAUGCAACGCGAAGAACCUUACCUGGGCUUGACAUGCUGGUGAAAGCUGCUGGAAACAGCAGCCCUCCUUCGGGACGCCAGCACAGGUGCUGCAUGGCUGUCGU